rnacentral:tRNA from 1 species
GCACUGGUGAUUAAAUAGUAAAACUCUCACCUUAUAUGAAAGAGACCUAGGUUCGAUUCCCGGUCAAUGCA